AGCAUAGCAACAGCAGCGUAGCUGAACAUCUUACGGAUGGCCCAGGGCUCCAAAGGCUCGUUUCCUAAGUGAGAGAGAGCCUGGCUGAAGCUGUAUUACCAUUCAUUCUCCAGCCUCCGAAGUCUCAAAGCAUCACUUCCACCAUACUCUAACUGUCAAGACAAACACAAAGGCCCAGGAAAGAAGAAUACACUAUCGAUGUUCCUUUUAAACAAGUAUUUGAGUAAAAGCGAUGUUUCCAAUGUGUGUCAGAAAGUGAAUACUUGUAUAUUUCCGCACGGUUAGAGCUGAGCUUUCCGAGCAAAUUUUACUGGGACCCGGUUGAAAGACAGGUCUUGGAAGUGAAAUGAUGACUGACUAGAUGGACAUUACAUGUAAAUGGAAUCAUACAAUAUGUGAUCUUUUGUGACUGGCUUCUUUCACUUAGCAUAACGUUUUCAAGGAAACUGCCAGACUGUCUUCUGAAGUGGCUAUAAUAUUUACACUCCCAUCAGCAGUGUGAGAAGGGGUCUCACUAUGUUGUCUGGAGUGCUGUGGUGGAGUGGAGUGGCUAUUCACAGGGAUUCUUGGAAUGGACUGUAAAAGUCUGGAAUCAAGACUUUGUGUUUCCUCUCUAACAUGUAAAGAGCUUAGAAGUUGUCGCUAUUGCCCUUACAACAAAAUGAAGCUGGACAAACUGAAAAUCAAUGACUUUUCUUGGACUCACUAUACAGCUGAGUUUGCAGAGUAAACCACUACCCUGAAAUCUGGAAAGGCAGGUGCACCCACAGAUCCUCAGCUGAGAUCCAAUUACCUGAAAUAGAAGCUGCCAUUAGGAACACUUAAAAGGAGCCUGUUCUGCUGGGACACAGAAUCACUUGCUCCAUCUCAUACAUUGAUGAUGAUUAAUUUGUAUGUGUACCUUCCAAAAAAGAUGGUUGUGUUUGAAUGGAGGCCUUCUGGACAGGAAAAUGAUGGAGAGUGCGUGCUUUGGAUUCAAGACUGGGAAUGAGGGGACCAGAAACCUAUUCUGUGGCUGUUUCUUGUUAGGACUUUCCUAAGCCUCUGGAAAAGGGUUCAAUCCUGCUGAUGCUCUCCAUGGAGAUGGUCAGCAAGGUGCAAAGUACAAUUAACAUUUGAGUCUGUCUGAGUCAUGAAGAAAUGGAGAUUACUGAAAAUAAUUCAUUUUGGUAUCUUCUUACAUCCUGAGAGACUAAUCUUUCCAAGUUCAUCUGAGGCUCCUCUUCUCCAUGACAACCUCAUCCAGGGAUUUCUUCCUGUCCUGGUGUUUUA
rnacentral:lncRNA from 1 species